CUGGGCGUAAGCGUGCGCAGGCGGAUUGUUAAGCAAGAUGUGAAAUCCCCGGGCUUAACCUGGGAAUGGCAUUUUGAACUGGCAGUCUAGAGUGUGUCAGAGGGGGGUGGAAUUCCACGUGUAGCAGUGAAAUGCGUAGAGAUGUGGAGGAACACCGAUGGCGAAGGCAGCCCCCUGGGAUAACACUGACGCUCAUGUACGAAAGCGUGGGUAGCAAACAGGAUUAGAUACCCUGGUAGUCCACGCCCUAAACGAUGUCAACUGGUUGUUGGGGGAGUGAAAUCCCUUAGUAACGAAGCUAACGCGUGAAGUUGACCGCCUGGGGAGUACGGUCGCAAGAUUAAAACUCAAAGGAAUUGACGGGGACCCGCACAAGCGGUGGAUGAUGUGGAUUAAUUCGAUGCAACGCGAAAAACCUUACCUACCCUUGACAUGGCAGGAACUUUCCAGAGAUGGAUUGGUGCCCGAAAGGGAACCUGCACACAGGUGCUGCAUGGCUGUCGUCAGCUCGUGUCGUGAGAUGUUGGGUUAAGUCCCGCAACGAGCGCAACCCUUAUCAUUAGUUGCUACGCAAGGGCACUCUAAUGAGACUGCCGGUGACAAACCGGAGGAAGGUGGGGAUGACGUCAAGUCCUCAUGGCCCUUAUGGGUAGGGCUUCACACGUCAUACAAUGGUCGGUACAGAGGGUUGCCAACCCGCGAGGGGGAGCCAAUCCCAGAAAGCCGAUCGUAGUCCGGAUUGCAGUCUGCAACUCGACUGCAUGAAGUCGGAAUCGCUAGUAAUCGCGGAUCAGCAUGUCGCGGUGAAUACGUUCCCGGGCCUUGUACACACCGCCCGUCACACCAUGGGAGUGGGUUUCACCAGAAGUAGCUAGCCUAAC
rnacentral:rRNA from 1 species